GUCCACGCCGUAAACGAUGAGUGCUAGAUGUCGCUGGUAUUGACCCCGGCGGCGUCGAAGCUAACGCGUUAAGCACUCCGCCUGGGGAGUACGGCCGCAAGGCUAAAACUCAAAGGAAUUGACGGGGGCCCGCACAAGCGGUGGAGCAUGUGGUUUAAUUCGACGCAACGCGAAGAACCUUACCUGGGUUGGAACCCCCUGGAAGUCCGCAGAGAUGUGGAUGUGCCCGCAAGGGAACCAGGUGUCCAGGUGCUGCAUGGCUGUCGU
rnacentral:rRNA from 1 species